rnacentral:rRNA from 1 species
UUCCGUUAAUUGAUUAUGACGUACUUGUACUGAUUGAGAUUUUAACACGAAGUGAGUGGCGAACGGGUGAGUAACACGUGGGUAACCUGCCCAGAAGUAGGGGAUAACACCUGGAAACAGAUGCUAAUACCGUAUAACAGAGAAAACCGCAUGGUUUUCUUUUAAAAGAUGGCUCUGCUAUCACUUCUGGAUGGACCCGCGGCGUAUUAGCUAGUUGGUGAGGUAAAGGCUCACCAAGGCAGUGAUACGUAGCCGACCUGAGAGGGUAAUCGGCCACAUUGGGACUGAGACACGGCCCAGACUCCUACGGGAGGCAGCAGUAGGGAAUCUUCCACAAUGGACGCAAGUCUGAUGGAGCAACGCCGCGUGAGUGAAGAAGGGUUUCGGCUCGUAAAGCUCUGUUGUUAAAGAAGAACGUGGGUAAGAGUAACUGUUUACCCAGUGACGGUAUUUAACCAGAAAGCCACGGCUAACUACGUGCCAGCAGCCGCGGUAAUACGUAGGUGGCAAGCGUUAUCCGGAUUUAUUGGGCGUAAAGCGAGCGCAGGCGGUCUUUUAAGUCUAAUGUGAAAGCCUUCGGCUCAACCGAAGAAGUGCAUUGGAAACUGGGAGACUUGAGUGCAGAAGAGGACAGUGGAACUCCAUGUGUAGCGGUGAAAUGCGUAGAUAUAUGGAAGAACACCAGUGGCGAAGGCGGCUGUCUGGUCUGCAACUGACGCUGAGGCUCGAAAGCAUGGGUAGCGAACAGGAUUAGAUACCCUGGUAGUCCAUGCCGUAAACGAUGAUUACUAAGUGUUGGAGGGUUUCCGCCCUUCAGUGCUGCAGCUAACGCAUUAAGUAAUCCGCCUGGGGAGUACGACCGCAAGGUUGAAACUCAAAAGAAUUGACGGG